rnacentral:rRNA from 1 species
UACGUAGGUGACCAGCGUUGUCCGGAUUUACUGGGCGUAAAGAGCGCGCAGGCGGUCGUUCAAGUCGAGUGUGAAAGCCCCCGGCUCAACUGGGGAGGGUCACUCGAUACUGAUCGACUUGAAGGCAGGAGAGGGAAGCGGAAUUCCCGGUGUAGUGGUGAAAUGCGUAGAUAUCGGGAGGAACACCAGUAGCGAAGGCGGCACUCUGGGCCGGUACUGACGCUGAGGAGCGAAAGCGUGGGGAGCGAACAGG